UAGGCCACAAAGUGAUUGGCCAAGGGGAGAGAAAUCUGACAUGAAUCUCAAAGUGUCUACAAGUUUUUUGGCGAGCAGAUUUGGAAAAUUAAAUGCUGGCACAUCUAAUGCAACACAGAGAAAAAUGGGCGAGACUGCACUUGUGCCAAAAAGUUUGUUAAUUGUACUUCAAUCUAUCCCCAUUCAUGGCACCGUCAUUCCCCUGGUUGCCAAAGCCAAAUUCCUGGGAGUUUUCCUAGAGGCCUUCCUUCACCUCCAAUCAGUUAACUGCUUUUACUGAGUUUCCUACAAAGCGAGUUUUGUACCCCGUCAUCUACUGCACCUGUGGCUCUGCCCUCUUCAUCUCACCCGGAUGCUGGUAAUAGCACUUAACCUCUCUCCCUGUCACCGGUCUCUCUCACCAUGAAGCUGGUCUUCACACAGCCAUCAGGAAGAUCUCUGUGAAGGACAAAUCUGAAAUAUGCUCUCUGACUAAAACAUCGGUGGUCCCCUGUGGGUACAAGAUAAAUCUCACGGCACCAAGACCUCCUAGGAUUUCCACCCUUUCCAGAUGGACACAAUUUUCCAGUAAACAGAGUUUUAUUCUGCAAAUAGACUAAGCUGCUUGUGAUAAGGGAAGACCUCAUGGAACUUAUGACAUUAGAGUAAGUACUGAAGUUUGAGAAGAAACAAGCAGUGGCUAUCAGGAGGAAAAGCAUUACAGACAGAAGGAACAGCAAGUACACAAGCCUGGAGUAGGACUGUGCUCACAAAGGCUGAACCAGCCCAGAGGAAAGAUCUUUUGCCCGUGGAGAGGCUCAGGUUUCUCAGGGAGCAGAGGCUUCCCCCCACCACCACUUACCGAGGACCAGCAAGGAUGCCCACAGUAUCAUGGAAGCCUGUUCUGGGAUCCUGAAGAGGAGCAGCUCUCAGGAGGUGGGUCAGUUCCCGGAGCUGGGGAGUGAGUUCAGCAAGGAGCUUCUCUGAGUAUAGCUGGCUGUGAUAAUGAAGUGAAAGGGGGAAGUGGAGGAACAUCUUAAAACACCAAACAGCAUGUUACCCGGUUGAGAGAAUCUCAGCGGCAAAAGUCAGUAUUCUAUCAAAGUAUUUAAGUGCUGCUCUGACAUCUUGGUAUGAAUAGCUUCUCAAGGCUCUAGUUGUCACAGUUUCGGAACCCUCCGGCCUCUGUUUUCCAAGGAAGGUGCAACUUAUUCUCUCUGCUACCAGAUGUCAGGUAAGACUGCAGUGCUGCUGAGAUUUGCAUAAUCCAAGGAUGUGCCUAAAUCACUCCAGAGUUGGAAAACUUCUCAUUCAGUGCAGAAAUGCCCUCCUCCGACCCCUGACAGCCUCUGCUGGACCGUUUCCAUCUGAUCAUGUACAUGUGAUGAAGUAUCUGCAUCAUAAGACAACUCGUAUCUUGUCUGACAUACAUGAAACUGUCCUGAUUCAUUUGUCUCAGAGGAAGCUACAAACUCUGAUCUGAGUAGGAUGCAAACUAAACAAUUUUUAAAACACUUUUUUAUUGAGUUAUAGUCAGUUUACAGUGUUGUGUCAAAUUCCAGUGUAGAGCACAAUUUUUCAAUUAUAUAUGAACACACAUAUAUUCAUUGUCACAUUCUUUUUCACUGUGAGCUACACAAGAUCUUGUAUAUAUUUCCCUGUGCUGUACAGUAUAAUCUCGUUUAUCUGUUCUACAUAUGCCUGUCAGUAUCUACAAAUUUCAAACUCCCAGUCUGCCCCUUCCCAUACCCCUCCCAAAACUAAACAAUUCAUUACAGCCCCAUCACUCUCUUCCUGGAGGAUGGACUGUGAAAUUUUUAACUUAAGGUCCCAGAAUAUAAAAUUUGCUAUAGGAAUGUCUCAACAAAUACAUAUUGAUUAUAUGGCUGUAUGUUAGGCAUGGUGCCAGGUGAUGGGAGCAUAGAGCUAAGCAAGACUUGAUAAGCUUUUGAUCUAGUGGGGAGACAGAAAAGCCAAUAGGGAGUUAAAUACAGAGUGGAACGUGUUCUGAUAGUUCAAUAGGAGGGAACUCUGACCCAUUUCUGGGGAAUCAGGAGAGGCUUCCCGGUGGAAGUAAUAUCCAAAUUGAAGGAUAUUAUUCUGUGACUGAGAGAUAAGCGUGGACGAAAGUGGAAGGCAGUCACCAUCACCGUUAUCAUCACAGGCAUGAUGUUUGCCAGGUUUCUUCAGGGUAAAGUUAACCAUAUGUCCUUUUCCAUACUCUAUCGUUUGGAAGCAAGUCACUAAGUUCACCCCACACUCAGGAGGUGGGGCUGGGAGGGGGUUAAGUUCCAGCUUCUUAAGGAAAAUUUUUCUUUUCUUCUCCAUUUAUUUAUUUGUUUGUGUAUUCAUUCAUUCAAUCAAUCUUUGUUUAUAACACUGUGGAAUCAUCUAUUUAUUUUAUAAUUUAGGUAAUAAUCUAAUGUGACUUUAUUUGUUUCAUCACUUAAAAUGUUUCGGCUUUGGCCCUUGGGAGCCCUUUCAAUUUAGCCUCUAUUUCCCUUUGACAUGCCCUCAUCCUUUUGUUUGUUUGUUUGUUUGUUUCUUUUGAGCACUUCCUGACUUUCUAACACUACAAGAUGCUCUAGUGCCCCAGCUCUGGAAUUUGCUAUUUCUCCAAGGAGCCCUGAUUCCUUUCAAUGAAGAAGAAAUUUAGAAGCCAAAAUCUGGAUGUUGGGGAUGUUCUUACUACUGGGGAAAAAAUUACGUAUUUUAAGAGGGAUGAUAAAGGUACCACUGUGUGUGGGAUGUGUAAGAAGCUUGGACAUGCAGGCUGAUUUGUCCACAUGGAUGUUGCUGUGUGGUAGAGCUGGGGGCAGGAGAGAAGGAGAAAGUUGCAGGGUUGGGACAUGUGACCAGAGCUUGCAUUUCUUAUGAUGCUGUGAUCCAGCAUGGAAUUCCAAAGAUAUAAGAAUUUUAUAUUUGAACUUAGACUACCAGGUUAUUAUAAAGGUAUAUUUGUCAAAAUGGUAAGAGAAAUCAUAUUAGUUUACUAGAUUGAUUUAUAAUUCUUAAACCUCCAGAUAUAUACAAGGAAGGCUUCCAUUUGUACUCUUGUCUUGAACCCUGCAAAUGUUUAAGAGGCACCUGACAUUUAUUUGGAAGGGGAAGUGAGAUACUGUUUUCCAUUGAUUUUUUAUAUGUAGAAAUUGAAUUUCGUACAACUUCACUUCCAGUGGCCAAAGCAUUUCGAAGAAGAAUCAUCAAAAUAAAAAUUUU